CCUACGGGAGGCUGCAGUGGGGGAUAUUGCACAAUGGGGGAAACCCUGAUGCAGCGACGCCGCGUGUGGGAAGACGGUCCUCUGGAUUGUAAACCACUGUCCCCAGGGACGAAGAUGACGGUACCUGGGGAGGAAGCUCCGGCUAACUACGUGCCAGCAGCCGCGGUAAUACGUAGGGAGCAAGCGUUGUCCGGAAUUACUGGGUGUAAAGGGAGCGUAGGCGGGAUGGCAAGUUGGGUGUUAAAUCUACCGGCUCAACUGGUAGUCGCACUCAAAACUGCUAUUCUUGAGUGAAGUAGAGGCAGGCGGAAUUCCUAGUGUAGCGGUGAAAUGCAUAGAUAUCGCGCAGAACUCCGAUUGCGAAGGCAGCAUGCCGGCUCCACACUGACGCUGAGGCACGAAAGCGUGGGUAUCGAACAGGAUUAGAUACCCGAGUAGUC
rnacentral:rRNA from 1 species